rnacentral:rRNA from 1 species
CCUACGGGUGGCAGCAGUGAGGAAUAUUGGUCAAUGGACGGAAGUCUGAACCAGCCAUGCCGCGUGCAGGAAGACGGCUCUAUGAGUUGUAAACUGCUUUUGUACAAGGGUAAACCUGAAUACGUGUAUUCAGCUGAAAGUACUGUACGAAUAAGGAUCGGCUAACUCCGUGCCAGCAGCCGCGGUAAUACGGAGGAUCCAAGCGUUAUCCGGAUUUAUUGGGUUUAAAGGGUGCGUAGGCGGAUUGAUAAGUUAGAGGUGAAAUGUCCGAGCUUAACUCGGGAACUGCCUCUAAUACGGUUGAUGUAGAGAGUAGAUGCGGUAGGCGGAAUGUAUGGUGUAGCGGUGAAAUGCUUUGAGAUCAUACAGAACACCGAGUGCGAAGGCAGCUGACCAAUCUAUAUCUGACGUUGAGGCACGAAAGCGUCGGGAGCAAACAGGAGUAGAUACCCCUGUAGUC